rnacentral:rRNA from 1 species
UACGUAGGGGGCAAGCGUUGUCCGGAUUUACUGGGCGUAAAGAGCGUGUAGGCGGCCACGCAGGUCCGUUGUGAAAACUGGAGGCUCAACCUCCAGCUGUCGACGGAAACCGUAUGGCUAGAGUCCGGGAGAGGAGAGUGGAAUUCCUGGUGUAGCGGUGAAAUGCGCAGAUAUCAGGAAGAACACCCGUGGCGAAAGCGGCUCUCUGGAACGGUACUGACGCUGAGACGCGAAAGCGUGGGGAGCGAACAGG